GAGUCCAGCAGGUGGCUAGACCCCCGCGGGGAGAGAGCUUAGCGCGUGGGCAGGACCGUGUGCAGGAAACGCGUCACAGGCAAGCAGUUUCAGGCUUUCAAGCAACAUUGCCAAAGGCCCUUCGCUCCCAGUAAGAAACCCCAAACAGGCUUGCUUCCUGUUCCCAGACUGACAUCUGCUGGGGACCACAGGCUGGUGGGCUCGGCAGGCAGGCCCGCAGCCGGCUGCCACUCGAGGCCCUGGGGCUGCUCAGAGGCACCCGCGAGCCUGCACGCCACCGAGUCGCAAUUGCCUGGAGACCCCACUUUCUCCCGCGCUUCUAGCAGCCGAGAUAAGGCCCAGGAUGACACCGUUUUGGCACAAGAGCCCCAGCCAGAUGUUCGGAGACCGAACAAAAGGAGGAUGAAAAAAGAAAAAGCCUCCACACUGCUUUGCAUUCUACGCCCACAUCUCUAGCAGAAUAGAGCGGCCGCCAUAGCCAACACUUAUCGUCUGCACUGGGGACUGAUAAUCCUGAGACAUACCACCUGGGACAAAGGAAGCGUGACGGUCCGAGGACGCAGAAGCGCCAGCAGCCUCGAGGGGCGAGCAGGUAGCGAGAAGUGGCUGGCCGGGGCCACACAGUCCUGAUGCCACCACUGCCACCCCUCAGCGCAGGGGAAGUGGAUCCGGGGGGGGGGAAGCGAGAAGACGUCCUCAGAGCCGUGUGCUCUGCGCCCGUGGCUGCAGCUGGUGGUGGAAAGAAGCCGCCUCUGCCUUGCGCACGUGCGGGCCGCCUCUGUGUGUGCCCUGCACAGUACACAGUGCAUAGCGUUGGCAUCACAUUCAGCACUAGCAGCCUAGGGAUGGUUUAAAGUACAUGUGAAGUCAAGGGUGUGGUGUGUCAGAUCUGUGGCACAGACACAGAUCGACCGUAUGUCAGGGCCGGUCACUGACGUUCAGUCCGUCGGUUUUAUCGUGGUCUCCUCUCCUAAAUCCAUCAGUAGAAGGAUAACGUGUUCAUUAAUGAGUCUAGUCUUCAGAGGCGAAACUGGCUAAAUAUAGAUGAGAGGACACUAUAUUGCCAGAGGGUACAGACCAGCCUAUGGAUCUAAGGACUCUCAGGCACUGCCAUUUAAAUUAUAAGCUAUUUAUUUGUCUCCUUAUUUACAAUUAGCACCUGGUAAUUUGCUGAUCUUAUGGAGGUCCUUAGGAUCUGUUACCAUAGUUACCACCAAUGUAAAUGCUACACUAUAUAAAAGAAACAAUUUAGAAA